AUGAACCAUUCAGAUUAUUCUGGGUAUAAUAGUGAUGGUAAUAUCAACCUUACUGAUAAUGAAUAUAUUACUAGUGAAGGGCAUACAAAAAAUAAUGAUUAUGAAGAAGAUAUUUUUUCUAUUUCAACAUCUUCAGUUAUUUUUCGUCACUCUUUUAUGCAAGCUACAAAAAGAGAUAUUAGUCAACCUUACAAUGAAUCAGAAAAAGGAAAUAAUAAAAAUGAUAAAAAUGAUAAAAAUAAUAAAAAUGAUAAAAAUGAUAAAAGUGAUAAAAAUGAUAAAAAUGAUAAAAAUGAUAAAAGUGAUAAAAAUGAUAAAAAUGAUGAAAAAAAAAAAAUGUUUAUAAAUAAAAAUAACAAAUGUAUAAAACAAGAUCAAGUAUUAUAUGAUGCCCUUUUUAAGGAAGAUAAUGCAGGUGUUGUUGAUGAUGAUGAUGAUGGAGAUGGUAAUGGAGAUGGUAAUGGAGAUGGUAAUAAAUCGGAUAAAAAAAAAAAAAAAAAUGAAUAUAAACAUAUAGGAAUUGAAAUAGGAAGUGAUGAAAGUGAUGAUAUGGUGAUUAGUAGCAAUACUAAUGAAAGUAGUAACAAUGAAUACUAUGAUAAAAAUGUUCAUGAUAAAAAUAAUCAUAAAAAAAAAAAUGACAAAAAUGGCAGUAAAAACAGUAACAAAUAUGAUAAUAAAAUCGACUUACUGAAUAAAAAAGAAAAUGGAACAAAAAAAAAAAAUGCCUCAUGUAUUUGUAAAGAUCUUGAAAAAUAUAAAAUGCAAACUUUAAUAAAAAACGAGCUAACUAAUCAGUCUAAUAACUUUUCUGAUUUAUCAAAUUAUAAUAAUUACUUGCAAGAAUUGAAUAAAAUUAUUAUCGCCAGUAAUAAUGAUAAUAUCAGUUACAAUAGCAACAACGGAAACGGAAAAGGAGACGGUAACGACUGUAACGAAGUUAACAACAUCGUGUACAAUAAUAAUAUGAUUUUGGCUGAUGACAUAGAUCUCGGCAAAUUUUCUAAAGAAAUCGAUUGUUAUAUGCAACAUAUAUAUAAUAAUCAAAUUAAGCAUUUAAACAAUAUAGUGACAAAUAUUUUUUCUUAA
rnacentral:lncRNA from 1 species